rnacentral:rRNA from 1 species
UGCAGUCGAACGGCAGCACAGUAAGAGCUUGCUCUUACGGGUGGCGAGUGGCGGACGGGGAGGAAUACAUCGGAAUCUACUUUUUCGUGGGGGAUAACGUAGGGAAACUUACGCUAAUACCGCAUACGACCUACGGGUGAAAGCAGGGGAUCUUCGGACCUUGCGCGAUUGAAUGAGCCGAUGUCGGAUUAGCUAGUUGGCGGGGUAAAGGCCCACCAAGGCGACGAUCCGUAGCUGGUCUGAGAGGAUGAUCAGCCACACUGGAACUGAGACACGGUCCAGACUCCUACGGGAGGCAGCAGUGGGGAAUAUUGGACAAUGGGCGCAAGCCUGAUCCAGCCAUACCGCGUGGGUGAAGAAGGCCUUCGGGUUGUAAAGCCCUUUUGUUGGGAAAGAAAUCCAGCCGGCUAAUACCUGGUUGGGAUGACGGUACCCAAAGAAUAAGCACCGGCUAACUUCGUGCCAGCAGCCGCGGUAAUACGAAGGGUGCAAGCGUUACUCGGAAUUACUGGGCGUAAAGCGUGCGUAGGUGGUCGUUUAAGUCCGUUGUGAAAGCCCUGGGCUCAACCUGGGAACUGCAGUGGAUACUGGACGACUAGAGUGUGGUAGAGGGUAGCGGAAUUCCUGGUGU